CAGAAAGGCAAAGAUAAGAGAUGAGGUCCUUCACAGAGCACACCAUGCAAGUCCCUAGGGGUGAGAGUAUCUAUAAGCCAAGAACUAUAGGCCAGUGUCUCUUUUGGAGAGCUGUUACCCACUCAGGAGGAUAAGAAUUCCCAGACGAGGACGGAGGAGCUGGCAAGUAGGAGAAACCAAAGAGGUGUUGGUGUGUUUGUGGCCUAGCUUAUGGGUGUGGCCUGUCAGGGAUUCUCUCUAGAGACUGGUGGAAGUCUAGGAUGCCUCUAAGAUACCAGUCAUUCUGAACUUAGAGAGACGUUGUCACUGGACUAGGUCACAUCGCAAGUGGCUGGCAUGAAGCUGGCUCAUUGUUCCUGUGCAAGAGUGAAGGCUUGCCCGUGAGCCCAGCUCAUGGUUCCUGCUCUGCUGGUUCUCCAGCAGCACCCGAGUGUCCUCCAGGUCCCAGGUGAGGUGGUGACACUUCCUCUUCAGUUGGUGAGCCAUCUUCUUGGCCUCUUCAUAUGCACUCUGCAGCUCCCCGAGCUAUGGAAAGAAGAGAGCAAGAGGGUCGCUGGCGCCCACCUCCCACGCCACCGUUUCCGAGGUCAGCAGCCAUGUAUGGAAAGGAAUGCUGGAGGAGAGAGGACCUCAGAGGAGAGUUUCUGUCAGCUUCAAGAAGCCGCUUCCCUGAGCUCCACUUUGCUGGGAGGUAACGUGUGGUCUGAGAGAGCAGCAGGCAGGAGCUCCUACAUCUGGCUCGGCAUGGGUUUUUGAAACUGACCAUGGGAGUGUUGAGGAGCACUGUGGGAGUCUAUGACACUUGCCUUGACCCCCCGAGGGUAGAGCAACAGCCAGAGAGUGGGCUGACCAGUGAGUGAAUAUGCCCAAAGUCAAGUUAGGAGGCCAGAUGGUCACAGUGAACACCCAGACAGGAGAACUGACAUUGCUAACAAUGAGCUUUGCUAUCAGAGAAGAAGGAGAAGAUGGGCCUGGUGGUGUAGGCCUGUCACCCCGGCUGGCUGAGGAGGGAAGAUCACAAGUUCAAGGUCACCCUGGACAACACAGCAAGAUACUGUCUCAAAAACAGUGAAGUAGAAGCUUCAUGGCAGGGCACUUGCCUUGCCUCACAUGCAGAAGGG